GAACGAACAUCGGCGAAAAACGAAUGUAACAGCAGGUAUACUAUACUAUUAUAAUAUAGAACACCCGGCCGAGAAAAAGCUAUCCACUAGGAACACUCAGCGAAUACACGAAUCCGAGAGUUUGGACCAAGUCCAAAAUAUAAUACCUACCUAUACUAUACUAUUUCUCGAAUAUAAUAUUAUCAUUCAGUCUAUUGUGUUGUCGGGCAACAACAAGACGAAUAAUUCUUAAACAAAUACUAUAUUCUAU